GUGUGUCUGAGGCCCGUGGACGGGUGCGUUUGGCGGGAGGUCCCAGGCGCUGGGGGCCCGUUGGAAGGAGGCGGCGGGAUGGGGAAGCUGACGGCGGAGCUGAUGGAGCCGGCGGCGCAGCACACAACGCCGUGCGGGACCGCGAGCUGGGCCUGCGGGUCAAUGGAGAAGUGUCCUGGGUGAGGAUCAGCAACAACAAAGAAGUCGGAGGGACGGGCAGCUGUCUGUUCAGCCGAUCAGCGCUAUCCACUGAGCCACACCGCGCCUGCCGCACCCGGGUGAGUUCCUUAGACAAACGGUUGGGGUGCAGGAAGAGCCCCCGAGAGCCUCCAGGAAGCGUGGGUCCUAACGCCAGGCCGCUCUGGCCCGCCACUGUGGCUCGGUGGUUGCGCAUCCACCACUCCCUUCCCCUCUCCGAAAUCAGGUGACCUGGACCCGCUGGCGUCGCUCAUGUCGCUGACCUCCCUGAGGUAGGAGAUGACCCGGUGACAGUGAGUCCCUUACAACAACUCCCUGCCCGGCCUCGACCUAAACAGCCAGUGAGGACAAAGGAAUGCUGAAUGGAAAUUGGAACUGGAAAAGCCUGGUGCGGGGCAGCUGCAUUCCCGACUGUGAGCCGGGCACCUACUUGACUCGGAGCUGAUCCGAUGCGGGCAGUGCCACCCCACCUGCAGGACCUGCGUGGGCCCCAGCAGGGAGGAAUGCAUCCACUUCGCCAGCACCCUGCACUUCCGGGACUGGACGUGUCUGCCCACCUGUGGCGAGCGUCAAGCACGUGGCAUCCCUGUGAUGUCCCGCCGGCUCGAGCAUCUCCACGGUCAACCUCAGCCGCACCGGGUCCCGCUGGCGGGCCGGGCCGUCCACACGCGUGACUUGGGGCCCAACCGCCCCUGUCCGUCCACCCGGUCUGUGCGCCAGACCUGUGUCCGGCCUGUGGUUUAGCUGCCUGCUCCGGUUCUCGCCGAGGGGGGUCCUGUGGACAGAGCCCCGAUAUUUCCCUGGAAAUGCACCGAUCGGCUCCCGGGACCUAGAGUAACCUUUGCUUUAAAGUUUCUCUCGAGCUUGUACGCGUCCGUUGUGUCCGGCUCCCCCCUCGAACCAUCAUGCAUCUGACGUGUCUCGGGGAGCAGGGGGAGCCCCCCACAGGAGUGAAUCGAAAUCAUGAAACAUAGGGAGACGCCCUCAGAGCAAAUGCGGUGUUAACCCUAAGUUAAUAAAAGAGGUAACAGCCCACAGCCAAGGACUCUUUCUUUCCCGGGCACAGCGAUGACACCUGUGUGCUGCCCGGCCGGUGAGGCUCAGCGGUUGAGCUUUGACCGGGAGGUCACAGGUCCGAUUCCUGGUUCGAAGCUCCAUCCCCGGUGUGGGGGUGCAGGAGGCACCGAUCAGUGAUUCUCAUCAUGGAUGUUUUUCCUUUCUGUCUCCCUUCCUGUCUGUAAAUAACCAAUAAAAUAUAUAUAUU